rnacentral:rRNA from 1 species
ACUCCUACGGGAGGCAGCAGUGGGGAAUAUUGCACAAUGGGCGCAAGCCUGAUGCAGCAACGCCGCGUGAGCGAUGAAGGCCUUCGGUCGUAAAGCUCUGUCCUCAAGGAAGAAUAAAUGACGGUACUUGAGGAGGAAGCCCGGCUAACUACGUGCCAGCAGCCGCGGUAAUACGUAGGGGGCAAGCGUUAUCCGGAAUCACUGGGCGUAAAGGGGUGCGUAGGCGGUUUUCAAGUCAGAAGUGAAAGGCUAUGGCUCAACCAUAGUAAGCUUUUGAAACUGUUAAACUUGAGUGCAGGAGAGGAAAGUGGAAUUCCUAGUGUAGAGGUGAAAUUCGUAGAUAUUAGGAGGAACACCAGUGGCGAAGGCGACUUUCUGGACUGUAACUGACGCUGAGGCACGAAAGCGUGGGGAGCGAACAGGAUUAGAUACCCUGGUAGCACAGAG